GUUUUAUUCCAACUUGCUCGACAGCGUUGAUCUGCACUGAAAGUCCAACACUGUAGCUCCAGGAAGCCUUCUUGAGAGCAUAUUGUUUGUAUCCUAUCAUGUAACCUUAUGGACAUUUAUUUAUCGCGUCGUUUCGUGUCCACCGGAGGCCCGCGGGCUGGGACAAAUGUGGACGCCGACGAAGAGAGGAGGGCUGUCUGCGCGUCUCUCACCGUUACCACGGGUGAAAUGGUCGUGUUUUUUCUGAAUCUCAUUCUGACGGUUGGGCAUCACCAUUAAACUUUUUUUUCCUUCAAAAUGAGGAUCUUCAUGUCCCUUCUGAAAAACGCCAACCCCAAAAUCGAGUACUACUCCAGAUUUUCUCCGUCCCCGCUCUCCAUUAAGCAGUUUCUGGAUUUUGGCAGGGACAAUGCAUGUGAGAAAACAUCCUACAUGUUCCUGCGUAAGGAGCUGCCUGUGCGGCUGGCUAACACCAUGAGAGAAGUCAACCUGCUACCUGAUAACCUGCUCAGCCAGCCGUCCGUCAGACUGGUUCAAAAAUGGUACAUGCAGAGUUUUGUGGAGCUGCUGGAUUACGAGAAUCGAAAGCCAGAGGACCCUCACGCUCUGAAUGAUUUCCUGGAGCUCUUGAUCGAAAUACGCAACCGUCACAACGACGUGGUCCCCACCAUGGCUCAGGGGGUCAUAGAGUACAAGGAGAGGUUUGGCUUCGACCCCUUCAUCAGCAGCAAUAUCCAGUAUUUCCUUGACCGCUUUUACACCAACCGCAUCUCUUUCCGCAUGCUCAUCAACCAGCACACUCUCCUGUUUGGCAAUGACACCAACCCUGCUCAUCCAAAACACAUAGGCAGUAUAGACCCUAACUGCAGUGUGGCUGAAGUCGUCAGUGAUGCCUAUGACACAGCCAAGAUGCUGUGUGAGAAGUACUACUUGGCUGCCCCUGAGCUCAAGAUUGAAGAGUUCAACAUGAAGGCCCCUAAAAAGCCGAUCCAGGUGGUGUAUGUGCCCUCUCAUCUGUUCCACAUGCUGUUUGAGCUCUUCAAGAACUCAAUGAGAGCCACUGUGGAGCUUCAUGAGAACAGUAAAGAGGGCUUACCACCAGUAAAAGCAAAAGUCACUCUGGGUAAAGAGGAUCUCUCCAUAAAGAUCAGUGACAGAGGAGGAGGAGUUCCUCUGAGGAAGAUAGACCGACUCUUUAACUACAUGUACUCCACUGCCCCUACACCAAGCCUGGAGCCAGGAGCUGUCCCCCUGGCCGGUUUUGGCUACGGUUUACCAAUUUCUAGGCUCUAUGCCCGUUACUUCCAGGGGGAUCUGAAACUCUACUCCAUGGAGGGUGUUGGCACGGAUGCUGUCAUCUAUCUGAAGGCCCUGUCCAGCGAGUCCUUCGAGCGCCUGCCCGUCUUCAACAAGUCAGCGUGGCGGCAUUACAAGACCAGCCCCGAGGCAGACGACUGGAGUAACCCCAGCAAAGAGCCACGUGAUGCCAGCAAGUCCAAAUACAAAGCCAACAGAUAACUCUGCCCGGCCUGCUAAACCCAGCCCUCUGCUGGGAGUCCAGAAGCCUGCACUCUGCCUACAGCAUGUACGAUGAAAUGUUGCCCUUGGCUCUCAUCUGAUGUGAAAAGAAACAAGUUUAGAUGAAGAAUUAUGAGAGACGCUUCAGUAUGGAGAGGUUCCUCAUCCUGUAGGUCCUUCGUUUUACAGCCACAUGAUAAGAUUUCAUCACUGCCAAUGCCUUUGUGACCUGCCAGUCUCACUGAGUGAUACUCGGUGACAAACCUACUGUAAAGGAAUUGUUGUGUUAUAGGGACAGUCCUCUUCAUUUUAAGGUCUCAGUGCACCGCCUGUCAAAUCACAUUUAACAGCUGAUGAUUUAUUGUGAUUUCCAUGAUUUAGAGGCCCAAGGAUCUUCCACCUUCAGUAGUUGUCAACCUUGAGUGUUAAAGGCUGUCUCUGUACCUAUGGUAUUUUAGAAAACAUUGUAUAUAUAUCAAGAAUAAUGUGUAUGCUGUAUAUGCAGCCAGUGUGGAGUGAUCGCUGUUUUCCAUCCCACUGUACCUCCAGCUUAAAACAAUGUAUUUGUAUGCAUGAACUCCUCACUGUGAAGGCAGUCAUGCAAAGAUAUGCAAAUAAUGCAACAUCAUCACACACCAAAAAGGUGAUAGAACAGUCUAACAAUGUGAUUCAGCAUGAAAUCAGCUUACAAUACCUAUUGUCAAACCUGACAAUAAAGAAAAUUGCUGUUGUGUGUAA